GCUCAGGAUGAACGCUAGCUACAGGCUUAACACAUGCAAGUCGAGGGGCAUCAGGAAGAAAGCUUGCUUUCUUUGCUGGCGACCGGCGCACGGGUGAGUAACACGUAUCCAACCUGCCCUUUACUCGGGGAUAGCCUUUCGAAAGAAAGAUUAAUACCCGAUAGCAUAAUGAUUCCGCAUGGUUUCAUUAUUAAAGGAUUCCGGUAAAGGAUGGGGAUGCGUUCCAUUAGGUUGUUGGUGAGGUAACGGCCCACCAAGCCUUCGAUGGAUAGGGGUUCUGAGAGGAAGGUCCCCCACAUUGGAACUGAGACACGGUCCAAACUCCUACGGGAGGCAGCAGUGAGGAAUAUUGGUCAAUGGGCGCUAGCCUGAACCAGCCAAGUAGCGUGAAGGAUGAAGGCUCUAUGGGUCGUAAACUUCUUUUAUAUAAGAAUAAAGUGCAGUAUGUAUACUGUCUUGUAUGUAUUAUAUGAAUAAGGAUCGGCUAACUCCGUGCCAGCAGCCGCGGUAAUACGGAGGAUCCGAGCGUUAUCCGGAUUUAUUGGGUUUAAAGGGAGCGUACGUGGACUGGUAAGUCAGUUGUGAAAGUUUGCGGCUCAACCGUAAAAUUGCAGUUGAUACUGCCAGUCUUGAGUACAGUAGAGGUGGGCGGAAUUCGUGGUGUAGCGGUGAAAUGCUUAGAUAUCACGAAGAACUCCGAUUGCGAAGGCAGCUCACUGGACUGCAACUGACACUGAUGCUCGAAAGUGUGGGUAUCAAACAGGAUUAGAUACCCUGGUAGUCCACACAGUAAACGAUGAAUACUCGCUGUUUGCGAUAUACAGUAAGCGGCCAAGCGAAAGCAUUAAGUAUUCCACCUGGGGAGUACGCCGGCAACGGUGAAACUCAAAGGAAUUGACGGGGGCCCGCACAAGCGGAGGAACAUGUGGUUUAAUUCGAUGAUACGCGAGGAACCUUACCCGGGCUUAAAUUGCAGUGGAAUGAUGUGGAAACAUGUCAGUGAGCAAUCACCGCUGUGAAGGUGCUGCAUGGUUGUCGUCAGCUCGUGCCGUGAGGUGUCGGCUUAAGUGCCAUAACGAGCGCAACCCUUAUCUUUAGUUACUAACAGGUUAUGCUGAGGACUCUGGAGAGACUGCCGUCGUAAGAUGUGAGGAAGGUGGGGAUGACGUCAAAUCAGCACGGCCCUUACGUCCGGGGCUACACACGUGUUACAAUGGGGGGUACAGAAGGCAGCUACCUGGUGACAGGAUGCUAAUCCCAAAAGCCUCUCUCAGUUCGGAUCGAAGUCUGCAACCCGACUUCGUGAAGCUGGAUUCGCUAGUAAUCGCGCAUCAGCCACGGCGCGGUGAAUACGUUCCCGGGCCUUGUACACACCGCCCGUCAAGCCAUGGGAGCCGGGGGUACCUGAAGUACGUAACCGCAAGGAUCGUCCUAGGGUAAAACUGG
rnacentral:rRNA from 1 species